UUUCGAGAAAUGUUGCCUUCCGAGAUAUGUUGCCUUUCGAGAUAUGUUGCCUUUCCGAGAAACGGUUGAACCCUGGUCUACGGUGACACGCGGCGAGAAGUUGCCCCCUGGCAAGUAUCCCCAACGUCACUAGCGAUUUUGGAGUCCUUCCGAGAAAUGUUGCCUUCCGAGAAAUGUUGCCUUCGGGUAACACCCGCGCGCUGUGGACACUCAGGACGCUACCGUGCAAGUAAUCACCCCGUGCUAUGCGUGGGGGGAGGCUUGGGUGGCUUGACCGCUGUGGCUACGCGAGCGCAUGAGUAGCUUUGGACCCGUGUCUGCCGGUAGGUCCCCCGUCUUUGUGCGGCCGACUACCGGCGCCGUGUCCCGUCAUUUGUGUGGCUUAUGUUACUGUUGCCUUUAAGUGCUUGCGUGCUGGUACCCGACCUACGGGAAGUGGUGCAUCAUACAUGGUUGCCUCGCGGUGGACGCCUUCGGGUGUGCUGCUGCGGCCAAAUGGCGCUUGCGGCGUUGCCUCGUGGUGCUGGCACGUUUUCGUGCCUGGUGCUAUCAGGGCAGCCUCGCUCCCGCUGUUGGUUUUGGAUGUCGCUCACGAUAAAAGCUCAUGGCCCUUUUGGGUUGCCUUGAACUGACCCUAAAUAUGCCUUCCUCGUUGAGAACAACCGUCAGCUGUUGCCUCAACUCGUAGGUGGAUAUUGGCCCGCUCAAUUGCGACAACCGGCCCGGCGGUUGCCUCUGCCUUUCCACGUAAGUGGACGGGCGAACGACUGUCGGCGCUGGACGUCAAAGAGGACGUG
rnacentral:misc_RNA from 1 species